AACACUGUUAACCUGCGGUACCUGCGGAAGGAUCAUUACAGAGUGUUUAACCCCCUAUAAAAUGGUGGGUCUAACCUCCCGUCCUUUGCUGGGUCCCCCUUCUGGAGGACUUUCAAAACUUUCUGCUUCGGCGGGGUAUACCCGCCGGAACACCCUCAAAAAAUUCUUGACCAAAAUGGUUCGGUCCGAGAAACUUUUUGUGAAAAUUAGCGAAAAACUUUUAACAAUGGAUCUCAGAUC
rnacentral:misc_RNA from 1 species